GGGCCGGUUUCAGCGUCGCCGCCAUCUUUGUUGAUGUGUCAGCUCAGCGGGUGUUUGGGGAAGCUCCCGCGGAGAGAGCGAAGUGUCGGCCCUCUUCCUAGCUGCUGUCUCUCCCUCCCACUCCUGGUCGGGCGGCCCCCGCUAUGAAGAAGUUGGCCCCUGAGCAGGAGCUCCAGCGGCUUCGUUAGGGCGUGGCCUGAGGCUGGGAGAAGUGCGAUGUGACACAAAGAUCAGAAGCAGACUUGAAGAAGUGCAAAGUGAACUGGUGCCAUUCAGCAUGUCAGAGACAGAGAACAUAGCCUCCAUUUCCUCUGAUAAAAAUAUUGGGAAAACAUCUGAAUUAAAGGAAGACUCAUGCAACUUGUUUUCUACUGAUGAAAGCAGCACAUUAGAAAAUGAAUCCAAACUAUCAUCAUUAAACUCUGAUAAAACUUUAUGUUACCCUAAUGAACAUAAUCAAAUUGAAGCCCAGGAAAAUUAUAUUCCAGAUAAUGGUGGAGGUGAGGAUUCUUGUACUAAAACAGACAUAUGCCCAGAAAAUCCUGAACAAAUAGGUAAUUUUCCUAAUGGAGAUUUUACAAAGCAAGUUUCAAAAACAAAUGAAACAGAGCAGACAGUAACGCAAAUAUUGGAGAAAUUAAGGUCAUCUACAUUUACAGAAGCAGCUAAUCAAAAGACUUAUUCAGAAAGUCCCUAUGAUACAGACUGCACCAAGAAACUUAUCUCAAAAAUAAAGAAUGUUUCAGCAUCAGAAGAUUUGUUGGAAGAAAUAGAAUCUGAACUCUUAUCUACAGAGUUUGCAGAAGAACACCGAGUACCAAAUGGAAUGAAUAAGGGAGAACAUGCAUUAGUUCUGUUUGAAAAGUGUGUACAAGAUAAGUAUUUGCAGCAGGAACAUACUAUUAAAAAGUUAAUUAAAGAAAAUAAGAAGCAUCAGGAUCUCAUCUUAGACAUUUGUUCAGAAAAAGACAAUUUAAGAGAAGAACUAAAAAAAAGAACAGAAACAGAGAAGCAGCAUAUGAGCACAAUUAAGCAGUUAGAAUCAAGAAUAGAGGAACUGAAUAUAGAAGUUAAAGCUUCCAAAGAUAAACUAGUAGCUCAAGACCUUGCAGCUAAAAAUGCAAUUCAGCAAUUACACAAAGAGAUGGCCCAACGGGUGGAACAGGCCAACAAGAAAUGUGAAGAGGCACGCCAAGAAAAAGAAGCAAUGGUAAUGAAAUAUGUAAGAGGUGAGAAGGAAUCUUUAGACCUUCGAAAGGAAAAAGAGAUACUUGAGAGAAAACUUAGAGAUGCAAAUAAGGAAUUUGAGAAAAACACUAACAAAAUUAAGCAGCUUUCUCAAGAGAAAGGACGGUUGCACCAACUGUAUGAAACAAAGGAAGGUGAAACGACUAGACUCAUCAGAGAAAUAGACAAAUUAAAGGAAGAUAUCAACUCUCACAUCAUUAAAGUAAAGUGGGCACAAAACAAAUUAAAAGCUGAAAUGGAUUCGCACAAGGAAACCAAAGAUAAACUGAAAGAAACAACAACAAAGUUAACACAAGCAAAGGAAGAAGCAGAUCAGAUACGAAAAAACUGUCAGGAUAUGAUAAAAACAUACCAGGAGUCAGAAGAAAUUAAAUCAAAUGAGCUUGAUGCAAAGCUUAGAGUUACAAAAGGUGAACUUGAAAAACAAAUGCAAGAAAAAUCUGACCAGCUAGAGAUGCAUCAUGCCAAAAUAAAAGAACUAGAAGAUCUGAAGAGGACAUUUAAGGAGGGUAUGGAUGAGCUGCGAACACUCAGAACAAAGGUGAAAUGUCUCGAAGAUGAACGAUUAAGAACAGAAGAUGAAUUAUCAAAAUAUAAGGAAAUUAUUAAUCGCCAAAAAGCUGAAAUUCAGAAUUUAUUGGACAAAGUGAAAAUUAUAGAUCAGAUACAGGAGCAGCUUCAAAGAGGUAAACAAGAAAUUGAAAAUUUGAAGGAAGAAGUGGAAAGUCUUAAUUCUUUGAUUAAUGACCUACAAAAAGACAUCGAAGGCAGUAGGAAAAGAGAAUCUGAGCUACUGCUAUUUACAGAAAAGCUCACUAGUAAGAAUGCACAGCUUCAGUCUGAAUCCAAUUCUUUGCAAUCACAAUUUGAUAAACUUUCAUGUAGUGAAAGUCAGUUACAAAGCCAAUGUGAACAAAUGAAACAGACAAAUAUUAAUUUGGAAAGUAGAUUGUUGAAAGAGGAAGAACUGCGAAAAGAGGAAGUCCAAACUCUGCAAGCUGAACUUACUUCUAGUCAAACAGAAGUUAAAGCAUUGAGUACCCAGGUAGAAGAAUUAAAAGAUGAGUUGGUAACUCAAAGACGUAAACAUGCCUCUAGUAUCAAGGAUCUUACCAAACAACUUCAGCAAGCACGGAGAAAAUUAGAUCAGGUUGAGAAUGGAAGCUAUGAUAAAGAAGUCAGCAGCAUGGGAAGUCGUUCUAGUUCAUCAGGGUCCCUUAAUGCUCGAAGCAGUGCCGAAGAUCGAUCUCCAGAAAAUACCGGGUCAUCAGUAGCUGUGGAUAACUUUCCAGAAGUAGACAAGGCCAUGUUGAUUGAGAGGAUAGUGAGGCUACAGAAAGCACAUGCCCGGAAAAAUGAAAAGAUCGAAUUUAUGGAAGACCACAUCAAACAAUUGGUGGAAGAAAUUAGGAAAAAAACAAAAAUAAUUCAGAGUUACAUUUUACGGGAAGAGUCGGGCACACUUUCUUCAGAGGCAUCGGAUUAUAACAAAGUCCAUUUAAGUAAACGGGGUGGCAUCAUGGCAUCUUUAUAUACAUCCCAUCCAGCUGAUAGCGGAUUAACAUUGGAACUCUCUUUAGAGAUCAACCGAAAAUUACAGGCUGUUUUGGAAGAUACACUACUAAAAAAUAUUACUUUGAAGCCUGGAAGUCAAAAACCCUGACCUGGUCCAACCCCUCAUUCUAAGAGGAGGGAAAAGCCCACGGAAGGAAGCGACUUGCUGAGUCACAUGGAGCCUUUUCCGGGCUCUGCAGGCACCGAUGACCCAGAAGGCACCUGGGACACAGCAGCACCCUUGGGUUCCAUAGGUCCUUGGAACCAAAUGAGUUGAGGAAGUUCUGCAGAUGGAAGUGCUGAAGGCCACAAGUCCAAGAUGAAGGUGUCAGCGGGUCUGGUUUCUCCCGAGGCCUUUUCCUUGGCUCACAGAUGGCCGCUUGCCUGCUGUGCUCACAAGGUCUCGUCCCUGCGCGAGAUGGGACUGAACCCACUGGCAUGACGAGGCUUUUGCGGGUUGAAGGGGAGGAUGAAGGGGACAGAGCCCCAAGACUGGACAGAGAGAGGGAGGUGAGAGUCUGCAACGGUGAAGGCCGAUUCUGACUUGCAGGCACUACCCCAUGGAAGGUGAUACCUUGGAUGACAGCUGCUUACCUGGAGGCCAGUGAAAGACAGGGUGCCAUUUUGUUGGGCCCUGACCUCGAAGGCAAGUGUCUCCUGGUACCCAGCCUGGCAUGCCAGGGGUGCCAGAGCCAGGCUAGCCUGGGCUCAUGCACCAAGGAAGCUCGCUGCAGACAAACUACAGCACUGGACGGAAGGUGGGCCACACCCAAAGGAACAUAAGGUGAUGUAGGGUGAACUAGCUGAGCAUUGACCCCAGAAAUAGAGAACCAUUUAGGGUGCUCUUAACUCCCAGAGUUCCUGUACAGCCCAAGACUAGGGGUGGCAGCCCCAGAGAAUAAAAUAGACAUUGGACUUCUCCCUAAUCCUUCAACACCCCUCCCCUUAUUUUGGAAAAAUCUGAGAUUUAUAGAAAUGUUGCAAAGAUAGUACAGAAAGUAUAUGUCUACCCUUCACCCAAUUUUUACCAUUGUUAACAUUGUUACAUUUCUGUGAUACAUUUGUCAAAACUCAGGUACCAUCAUUAGUACACUAUAUUAUUGACUAACCUCCAAACCUUAUUUGGAUGUCAUCAGUUUUUCUAUUAUUUAAUCAUACCCUCUUUCUGUUCCAGGGUCCAAUCCAGGGUCCCACCCCGCAUCUAGCCGGCAUGACUCCCCAGUCUCUCUGGUCAGUGGCAGUUUCUCAGUCUUCUCUAAUUUUGUCAUGACUUUGACAGUCUUGAGUAGCGCUGACCAGCUAUCCUUGUGGCCUGUCUCGAAAGCUGGGUUUGUGGAUAUUUUUCUCGUGAUUCUAUUGGCGUUCUGGCAUUUGGGAAACAAUGGCACAGGGCGAGGUGCCCUUCUCAUCAUGUCACAUCGGAAGGGACAUGAUACCCACAUGCCAUCACCGAUAUGUCAGCCCUCAUCACUUGGGGCUGCAGGUUUCCUCACCAUAAAGGAUUAUUUUCCCUUUCCCUAUUCUCCUCCUUACAAGCCCUAACUUUUUAAUUUGCAG